rnacentral:rRNA from 1 species
AUACGAAGGGGGCUAGCGUUGCUCGGAAUUACUGGGCGUAAAGCGCACGUAGGCGGCUUUCUAAGUCGGGGGUGAAAUCCUGGAGCUCAACUCCAGAACUGCCUUCGAUACUGGAAAGCUCGAGUCCGGGAGAGGUGAGUGGAACUGCGAGUGUAGAGGUGAAAUUCGUAGAGAUUCGCAAGAACACCAGUGGCGAAGGCGGCUCACUGGCCCGGUACUGACGCUGAGACGCGAAAGCGUGGGGAGCGAACAG